GCCGGGAUGGCGGAAUGGCAGACGCUACGGACUUAAAAUCCGUUGGAAAGUAAUUUCCGUGAGGGUUCAAAUCCCUCUCCCGGCA
rnacentral:tRNA from 1 species